GCCGGGAUAGCUCAGCUGGGAGAGCAACAGACUGAAGUCGGAGAGAAAGAAUGGCUUUCUGGAGGUCCCGUGUUCAAUCCACGGUCCUGGCA